rnacentral:rRNA from 1 species
UCUGGNUUAACUGGGGGCUUGCGGUGGNUACGGGCCGGCUUGAGUGCGGUAGGGGAGACUGGAACUCCUGGUGUAGCGGUGGAAUGCGCAGAUAUCAGGAAGAACACCGGUGGCGAAGGCAGGUCUCUGGGCCGUUACUGACGCUGAGGAGCGAAAGCGUGGGGAGCGAACAGGAUUAGAUACCCUGGUAGUCCACGCCGUAAACGUUGGGCACUAGGUGUGGGGGGCCUUUUCCGGGUCUUCCGCGCCGUAGCUAACGCAUUAAGUGCCCCGCCUGGGGAGUACGGCCGCAAGGCUAAAACUCAAAGGAAUUGACGGGGGCCCGCACAAGCGGCGGAGCAUGCGGAUUAAUUCGAUGCAACGCGAAGAACCUUACCAAGGCUUGACAUGUGCCGGUCUGCUCCGGAGACGGGGUUUCCUCCCUUGUGGGGGCUGGUUCACAGGUGGUGCAUGGUUGUCGUCAGCUCGUGUCGUGAGAUGUUGGGUUAAGUCCCGCAACGAGCGCAAUCCUUGUCUCGUGUUGCCAGCACGUUGUGGUGGGGACUCGCGGGAGACUGCCGGGGUCAACUCGGAGGAAGGUGGGGAUGACGUCAAAUCAUCAUGCCCCUUAUGUCUUGGGCUUCACGCAUGCUACAAUGGCCGGUACAGAGGGCUGCGAUACCGUGAGGUGGAGCGAAUCCCUUAAAGCCGGUCUCAGUUCGGAUCGGUGUCUGCAACUCGACACCGUGAAGUUGGAGUCGCUAGUAAUCGCAGAUCAGCAACGCUGCGGUGAAUACGUUCUCGGGCCUUGUACACACCGCCCGUCACGUCAUGAAAGUCGGCAACACCCGAAGCCCGUGGCCCUA